rnacentral:misc_RNA from 1 species
AUUGAGUUUAGCUGGUGAAUUUCACCACAUGUUUGAGACUGUAUCAGCUUGCUUGCUUGCUUUCUCACUCAACCUCAAACUGAAAUUUGUUUCCCAUUUUCAUAUUUGAAAACUAAAUUUUAUUUGCUAGUUAUUUAGUUGUUUCAGUGGUUUAUGAGGAUGAGCUAUAUAUUAGAAGGAAGUCAGUUUUCUUGAAAAAUUCGG